rnacentral:rRNA from 1 species
UUACGGGAGGCAGCAGUGGGGAAUUUUGGACAAUGGGCGAAAGCCUGAUCCAGCCAUGCCGCGUGCAGGAUGAAGGCCUUCGGGUUGUAAACUGCUUUUGUACGGAACGAAAAGGUUUGACUUAAUACGUUGGACUCAUGACGGUACCGUAAGAAUAAGCACCGGCUAACUACGUGCCAGCAGCCGCGGUAAUACGUAGGGUGCGAGCGUUAAUCGGAAUUACUGGGCGUAAAGCGUGCGCAGGCGGUUAUGUAAGACAGAUGUGAAAUCCCCGGGCUCAACCUGGGAACUGCAUUAGUGACUGCAUAGCUGGAGUACGGCAGAGGGGGAUGGAAUUCCGCGUGUAGCAGUGAAAUGCGUGGAUAUGCGGAGGAACACCGAUGGCGAAGGCAAUCCCCUGGGCCUGUACUGACGCUCAUGCACGAAAGCGUGGGGAGCAAACAGGAUUAGAUACCCUCGUA